UACGGGGGGAGCAAGCGUUGUUCGGAUUUACUGGGCGUAAAGGGCGCGUAGGCGGCCACCGCAAGUCGAUUGUGAAAUCUCCGGGCUUAACCUGGGAACUGCACUUGAAACUACGAUGCUGGAGUAUGGCAGAGGGAGGUGGAAUUCCACGUGUAGCGGUGAAAUGCGUAGAGAUGAUGGAGGAACACCGAUGGCGAAGGCAGCCUCCUGGGCCAAUACUGACGCUCAUGCACGAAAGCGUGGGGAGCAAACAGG
rnacentral:rRNA from 1 species